rnacentral:rRNA from 1 species
AGAGUUUGAUCCUGGCUCAGGACGAACGCUGGCGGCGCGCCUAACGCAUGCAAGUCGAACGAGCGAGAGAGAGCUUGCUUUCUCGAGCGAGUGGCGAACGGGUGAGUAACGCGUGAGGAACCUGCCUCAAAGAGGGGGACAACAGUUGGAAACGACUGCUAAUACCGCAUAAGCCCACGACCCGGCAUCGGGUUGAGGGAAAAGGAGCAAUCCGCUUUGAGAUGGCCUCGCGUCCGAUUAGCUAGUUGGUGAGGUAAUGGCCCACCAAGGCGACGAUCGGUAGCCGGACUGAGAGGUUGGACGGCCACAUUGGGACUGAGACACGGCCCAGACUCCUACGGGAGGCAGCAGUGGGGAAUAUUGCACAAUGGGGGAAACCCUGAUGCAGCGACGCCGCGUGGAGGAAGAAGGUCUUCGGAUUGUAAACUCCUGUUGUUGAGGAAGAUAAUGACGGUACUCAACAAGGAAGUGACGGCUAACUACGUGCCAGCAGCCGCGGUAAAACGUAGGUCACAAGCGUUGUCCGGAAUUACUGGGUGUAAAGGGAGCGCAGGCGGGAAGACAAGUUGGAAGUGAAAUCUAUGGGCUCAACCCAUAAACUGCUUUCAAAACUGUUUUUCUUGAGUAGUGCAGAGGUAGGCGGGAAUUCCCGGUGUAGCGGUGGAAUGCGUAGAUAUCGGGAGGAACACCAGUGGCGAAGGCGGGCUACUGGGCACCAACUGACGCUGAGGCUCGAAAGUGUGGGUAGCAAACAGGAUUAGAUACCCUGGUAGUCCACACCGUAAACGAUGAUUACUAGGUGUUGGAGGAUUGACCCCUUCAGUGCCGCAGUUAACACAAUAAGUAAUCCACCUGGGGAGUACGACCGCAAGGUUGAAACUCAAAGGAAUUGACGGGGGCCCGCACAAGCAGUGGAGUAUGUGGUUUAAUUCGACGCAACGCGAAGAACCUUACCAAGUCUUGACAUCCCUUGACGAUACUGGAAACAGUAUUUCUCUUCGGAGCAAGGAGACAGGUGGUGCAUGGUUGUCGUCAGCUCGUGUCGUGAGAUGUUGGGUUAAGUCCCGCAACGAGCGCAACCCUUACUGUCAGUUACUACGCAAGAGGACUCUGGCAGGACUGCCGUUGACAAAACGGAGGAAGGUGGGGAUGACGUCAAAUCAUCAUGCCCUUUAUGACUUGGGCUACACACGUACUACAAUGGCGUUAAACAAAGAGAGGCAAGACCGCGAGGUGGAGCAAAACUCAGAAACAACGUCCCAGUUCGGACUGCAGGCUGCAACUCGCCUGCACGAAGUCGGAAUUGCUAGUAAUCGUGGAUCAGCAUGCCACGGUGAAUACGUUCCCGGGCCUGUACACACCGCCCGUC